CCUACGGGAGGCAGCAGUGAGGAAUAUUGGUCAAUGGGCUUACGCCUGAACCAGCCAAGUCGCGUGAGGGAAGACUGCCCUAUGGGUUGUAAACCUCUUUUGUCAGGGAGCAACGCCGGCUACGUGUAGCCGGACUGAGAGUACCUGAAGAAAAAGCAUCGGCUAACUCCGUGCCAGCAGCCGCGGUAAUACGGAGGAUGCGAGCGUUAUCCGGAUUUACUGGGCGUAAAACGAGCGCAGGCGGGUUAACAAGUUUGGUAUGAAAGGCUUUUGCUUAACGAAAGUUUGUAUCAAAAACUGUUAAUCUAGAGUGUAGUAGAGAGUUCUGGAAUUCCAUGUGGAGCGGUGGAAUGCGUAGAUAUAUGGAAGAACACCAGUGGCGAAGGCGAGAACUUAGGCUAUCACUGACGCUUAGGCUCGAAAGUGUGGGGAGCAAAUAGGAUUAGAUACCCCUGUAGUC
rnacentral:rRNA from 1 species